AGAACUCAUAUCUGCCAUCUAGUGAGUUUAUUAGAUCAUUAAUGCCUAAAAGUUACAAAAAUGACGUCGCCACAGGAGUAAGAUGACGCUAGUUGUAUGUUAUUUUCCUUUGUAUGGGAGUUGCACCCCCCUGAGUUCGGGUGUCAUCGUAUUCCGAUAAAGAACUGACUUUUCCUGAAGGAAAAUAAUUUCUCACUACAUCUACAUAAACCUACGUAUUUAUAACCAUGGAUUAAUAUAUCAUAGCUAUUAUAGGUACUAAUCUGUGGCAUUUAUUUACUGUGUAAAACAAUGCAAAGUAAAUAAUCAAAAUAGUGGUACACAAUCGCUAGUAGUACUAAGAAAUAGUGAUAUAAAACAGAAACAAGAAAGCAUAAAAUGGAUAACGAAUUUAUAGAUAUAUCGACAAGUCUCAAACUACAACUGGGCUAUGGAAUUGGUCACGUACUUAAUGAUGUUUGUGCCAGUUUGUGGUUUACAUAUUUUCUAGUAUAUUUUAAACUAGUACUAGAGUUCAGUAAUGUGCAGUCUGGUACACUUAUGUUAGUAGGUCAAAUGGUUGAUGCUUUAGCCACUCCUUUUAUUGGUUAUCACUCGGAUCAUACAGACAAUUUCUGGAGUGCAAAAUAUGGAAGACGGAAGCUCUGGCAUUUGUUUGGUACAAUCUGUGUUGUGACCUCAUUUCCAUUUAUCUUUUCUGAAUGUGUUGGAUGUUCAUUGACACACAGAUGGGCUCAAAUGUACUAUUUUGCUGCUUUUAUUGUCAUAUUCCAAAUUGGAUGGGCAGCAGUGCAAAUUUCGCAUUUGAGCCUAAUACCUGAAUUAGCACAAGAUGAUCACACAAGAACACACUUGACCGCUAUCAGAUAUGCAUUCACUGUGUUCUCUAAUUUGUUGGUGUACAUUGCUACGUGGAUAAUAUUGCAUAUUACAGGAGAAUGUGACAAAAAGCAAGUAGGGCCAUCUGACAGUUGGAAAUUCAGGCACAUAGUUUUUAUAGUUAUGGGUGUUGGCACUAUAGCCUCACUAUUGUUUCAUUUAAGUGUCAAAGAAACACAAAAUGCACGGAGUCGCCAGGUUUUAAUAGAUGCUGAAGAAAGCGGUGCUCACAACCUUUUCAUUCGUAAACCACUUUUAUAUCAGGUAGCCGGAGUAUAUAUGAGUACAAGGCUAGUAGUUAACUUAUCGCAGGUGCUCAUACCCUUAUAUCUUCACCUUACUUUAGGCCUAGCUGCGCGCGCUCUAGCUGCUAUACCACUCGCACUGUACAUUGGUAGUUUAACAGCAGCAGGAUUUCAGAGGUUGGCUCCGAGAUCAUUUUCAAGAAAAAUAAACUACUUUUUUGGUUCCACAUGUGCAAUGGCUGGUUUUGUAUGGAUAUAUUUUGGAUCAGAUCACAACUAUAAGGAGUAUUUCAUUUAUUUGGUCGCAUUACUUAUAGGUUUUGGUGGUGCAGUUAUGUUAGUAACGAGUCUUGCGCUAACAGCAGACUUGAUAGGCGAAAGAACCGAGGCUUCUGCUUUUGUAUAUGGAUUAAUGAGUUUUAGUGACAAAUUGUCGUGUGGACUAGCCAUUGCUUUAGUGCAAACAUAUGCCGACGGAGCUGAAUCAACAUACUAUCGGAAUGCUUUGGUGUGGGUGUGCGGAGUUGCAACGAUAACUGGCCUCAUCUUUACAUUAUUAUUACCUAAAUUUCAAACAGAUGCCCUUGUUUUGAAUGGUUCGUAAAAUGAUCUGAUUAGGCAUAAAAUAUUACGUAUUUGUUCUAGUUCCAUAAUAGUAAAACAUGUAUUUUUUAUUUUUUUUGUUUAUCAGAUUGGUGGACGAGCUCACGGCUCAACUGGCGUUAAGUAGUUACCGGUGCCCAUAGACAUCUACAACGUAAAUACCACCACCUACUUUGAGAUAUGAGUUCUAAAGUGUCAGUUUACAGUACAACGACGACCCCAGCCCUCAAACUGAAGUGCAUUACUGCUUCACGGCAGAUAUAGGUAGGGUGGUGGUACCUACCCGUGCGGACUCACAAGACCUCCUAUCAACAGUAAUUACGCAAAUUAUAAUUUUGCGUCUUUAGUUUUUAUUACACGAUGCUAUUCCUUCACCGUGGAAGUCAGUCGUGAACAUUUGUUAAGUACGUAUUUUAUUAGAAAAAUUAGUUCCUGCCUGCGGAACUCUACACCGGUACAUCGCAAGAAACGAAUGCACUGGAAGACUUUAUCGUUUAGGCAACAACGACUUCAAAUAUAGAAAAUAUAAAUAUAAUUUUGCACUGUUAAAAGUGAGACCUUACAACUCAUGCUUAAGGUACGCACCUUGGCGGCAUUUACGUUGUAGAUGACUAUGGGCUCCGGUAACCACUUAAAAUCAGGUGGGUCGUAAGCUCGUCCACCCAACUAAGAAAAAAAAAUAUAUAUAUUUAAUAUCGAUAAUGAUUUUGGAUUGAAGAACUGCUUCCGUAAUGGCUGUGACACUUAAUUUCGACACCCCCGAUUACUCUCUUUAGACAACCCAUACCCUGGGCCAGGAAGGUCAAGUACCUGGGCGUUACCCUGGAUGCAUCGAUGACAUUCCGCCCGCAUAUAAAAUCAGUCCGUGACCGUGCCGCGUUUAUUCUCGGUAGACUCUACCCCAUGAUCUGUAAGCGGAGUAAAAUGUCCCUUCGGAACAAGGUGACACUUUACAAAACUUGCAUAAGGCCCGUCAUGACUUACGCGAGUGUGGUGUUCGCUCACGCGGCCCGCACACACAUAGACACCCUCCAAUCCCUACAAUCCCGCUUUUGCAGGUUAGCUGUCGGGGCUCCGUGGUUCGUGAGGAACGUUGACCUACACGACGACCUGGGCCUCGAAUCAAUUCGGAAAUACAUGAAGUCAGCGUCGGAACGAUACUUCGAUAAGGCUAUGCGUCAUGAUAAUCGCCUUAUCGUUGCCACCGCUGACUACUCCCCGAAUCCUGAUCAUGCAGGAGCCAGUCACCGUCGACGCCCUAGACACGUCCUUACGGAUCCAUCAGAUCCAAUAACCUUUGCAUUAGAUGCCUUCAGCUCUAAUACUAGGGGCAGGCUUAGGGACCCCGGUAACCGUACUCGUCGAACUCGACAAAGAGGUCGACGUGCAACCUAACCCAUGCAUCAGCCCGCUGAGUUUCUCGCCGGAUCUUCUCAGCGGGUCGCGAUUCCGAUCCGGUAGUAGAUUCAUUCGCGAAACAAUUGCUCUUGAGUUGUUAGGUCUCCUUCGGAGGCGCUCGGGCAGUUGUUAGCAAAUCCCACCCCUCUUGGCUGAGCCUUUGCUCGCCCACCUGUCCUGGUGAAACUGGAAAGGCCUUCGGGCCACCAGUAAACAUUCAUUCAUAAAAAAAAAAAAAAAAAACUUAAUUUCGAAUACCUAUGUCCAAUCUAGUAAUGAGAAAAUAUAUGUACUCUAAAAAAUAGGUACAACAUAUUAAUAUUUCUUUAAAAUGAGUCGUCUAUUAUCAAAGGUGGCAAUCUGUGCAUUUGGACAAAAAAAUGUUAUUGAUAUGUCAAUACAGAUUGAUUUGAAUAUAAUCGUCUCCUUCAAAGAAUACGGUUCAAAACCUGCAUUAAAUAAAGGUUAAUACUUAACCUGUUAUUUAUCUAAGAUGUCGUUCAGAAGAGUUUUGUGACUGCCAAUGGAAUACAAAGUCAAUAAUUCGUUUUUCUGAUUUACCAAUAAUUGUCCAAAAGUCACAUUGCCGGCUUUGAUAAUAGUCGACUCAAAUGUUUUCUUAAUUUAUUGUACAUUAUUAUUGUAUAGUACAGGAUCCCUGGUACACUUUUCAUCAUUUAUUACUAACAAGCUGAUUUUUCGUGAGUAGCUUCCUUUUGACUAGACGCGCAACUUUUUUCCUUACAGUAACAUUGGUAAGUGGUUGUGGGGUAGCAAGGAUAAAAUAUGUUGAUUUCACGAAUUUUAAAAAUUUAUUAUUAACCGAAUUUUUCUUUGUUAAUUAUCGAGAUAUGUAUCUAAAUAACGUAAAAAAAUAUUUGUCCUACAAAAUAUAAAGUUUUGUUAGGGAGUCCCCCCUCUCCAACAUGUAUCAUAAACAAGGUCAUGAAAUAUAAUUACUAACCAGCUGAUUUUUUUUAUUGCUUAGUUACAUAACAUUUGCAUAGUUUACCACCCACAUUGUCCUACAAAUUGCCUGGUAUGUCACCUUUGUCCUACGCUCAAAAGUUGUCAAUAGUCAAUACCGCAGGACUUUUUUUUUAUUAGUAACUGUAGGACAAAGAUAUCAUGUGAUAGGUUAAUAUAUAUUUCGUCUAAAUAAAACAAUGUCCUACAAAAAAAAGGUAUGCUUUAUUAGUCCGACAAGAUUUGUAAUUUUUGAGUUAACAAUUUAUAUAUAUGUAAACAUUAAAUUUACUCUAAAUUCCUUGUAACAAGAGGAAUGAUAACCUAUUAUUUCAUCACCCCAACUUUCAGGCGAUACAAUAUCACAAUAUUUGUGUUUAUAAUGCUUUCGAGCAGAUAAAAAAGUUUUACAAGAAAGCCAUAUCUCUAUUUUUUUAUUUUAUUUCUUCUCUAAUUAGUUUUCAGAUAACAAAUUACAUAAAAAACACUCCAUUAUAAUUUUGCAACACAGAUUACUAUUCAAAUUAUUUUUCGAAAGACAAAUAAAAUACGAGGUUGACUAAAAACAACGUUACGUGGUUAUGAUCACAGUAAACAAUGCUGUGCGCAUGCAUUUGUGAGCAAGCAUUAUCCUUGCUUCAGUGUGCUUCAGCUCCAAUAGCAAAAUGUACGAAAUGAUAUUAAGUUUAAUUUCAUUAAUUUCAACUACGUAACUGGAGGACUGGAAUAACGUACCACGCAAUUUGUAGGACAAUGUGGGUGGUAAACUAUGCAAAUAUGGUGCGGCAGACAGUAACACAGAAGAUGCGACGAGUGCACCAAUAGAUAAUAUAUGAAUGCAUUCCAAUAAAAUUAAAAUAAUCAAAGUUAACUACCGAGAACUGUUCUAAUAAAAGUAUGAAAUUUUAGCGGGAAAAA